AUGAGCUACCGGGCGUGUCUUCCUCUGGAAUGGCCAAUGUCCAAAAAGAGGUGAGGAACAUCUCCUACCAGCACCUGGGAGCUUCCGAAAGGGGCGUGUCCGGCGGCAAAUCAAAGUCUUCUCAUGACGCAUUCAACAUGCCGCGCAGAGGGAGCGAGCCGGGGAAAGUCAACAUGGCCGCCGUUGCUCCCUUCAGGUUCAGUAGGUUUCAGGUCCACGAGGACACAGAUCCCGGCCUCGAUGAUCUCAGUGACUGCUCCUCUGACUCCAUGGAGGUCUGCUGUGACGAGCUCGGAAAAUGGUUUGAUACGGAUGUGCCGGUGUUUUUCUCCCUCGCUGAUGCGUUUCUACAUGGUCUCGUGCAG
rnacentral:lncRNA from 1 species